rnacentral:rRNA from 1 species
GAUGAACGCUAGCUACAGGCUUAACACAUGCAAGUUGAGGGGCAGCAUGGUCUUAGCUUGCUAAGGCCGAUGGCGACCGGCGCACGGGUGAGUAACACGUAUCCAACCUGCCGUCUACUCUUGGACAGCCUUCUGAAAGGAAGAUUAAUACAAGAUGGCAUCAUGAGUCCGCAUGUUCACAUGAUUAAAGGUAUUCCGGUAGACGAUGGGGAUGCGUUCCAUUAGAUAGUAGGCGGGGUAACGGCCCACCUAGCCGACGAUGGAUAGGGGUUCUGAGAGGAAGGUCCCCCACAUUGGAACUGAGACACGGUCCAAACUCCUACGGGAGGCAGCAGUGAGGAAUAUUGGUCAAUGGACGAGAGUCUGAACCAGCCAAGUAGCGUGAAGGAUGAAGGUCCUACGGAUUGAAACUUCUUUAUAAGGGAAUAAACCCUCCACGUGUGGGANCUUGUAUGUACCUUAUGAAUAAGCAUCGGCUAACUCCGUG